AUGUACCAGCAAGAAGGGGUUCCCGUGCCCGGCAUGGAGCAACAGUUCGCGGAGCCGCCGCUGCCUGGCCAUCAAGAGCAGUACUACACGCCGCCGAUGGCGACCCCGUCGUUCCAUCCAUCUCGCAGCUCCGAUUUCCCGAGCUUUGGAGGCUCGUCGUCGUUGCCGAACCUGCCGUUCGGAUCGACGACGGUGAAGAACGAGCUGGGGCAGCCGUCUCCGCCGCCGCCAUCGUCCAACUUCCUCUCCUUCGGCGCCGGCCAGGCUGGCACCCUGAACUUCUCGGGAGGCGCCUGGCAGCACGACGGCGUGGAAGGGACGAUGCAGCUGCAGGCGCCGGAGAGGCGGAGCAGGGCGCCGGCGAACGCGCAGGAGCACGUCAUCGCCGAGCGCAAGCGACGGGAGAAGCUGCAGCAGCAGUUCGUGUCUUUGGCCACCAUCGUCCCCGGCCUCAGGAAGGUGCGUGACAAGGAAACGUGGCUGCAUUCACGUGGUCACCACACCAACUGCCCGCGGCGAGCUCCAUUAGUUACCCUUCGCCAUUGUUUUCAGACAGACAAGAUCUCUCUGCUGGGGAGCACCAUCGACUACGUGAAGCAGCUGGAGGACAAGGUGAGGGCGCUGGAGGAGCAAGGCUCGCGGAGGUCGUCGGAGUCCACCACCGUCUUCGAGAGCAAGUGCCGCAUAUCCGCCGCCGACAACGACGCAGCAGGACCCAGCGGGUCCGGGGACGCGGCCGAGGACUCGAGCCCGGCCGUCGAGGCCAGCAUCCGGGGGCACACGGCGCUCCUGAAAAUCUGCUGCAAGGAGAGGAGAGGGGUGCUGGUGAUGGUCCUCUCCGAGCUCGAGAACCAGGGCCUCUCCAUCAUAAACACCAACGUCGUCCCGUUCACCGACUCCUGCCUCAACAUCACCAUCACGGCCAAGAUCGAAGAGGGCUUCUCGUCCGCGGCUGAGCUCGUGAGGAACCUGACGGUGGCUCUCAGAAGUUUCAGCUGA
rnacentral:rRNA from 1 species